GAUGAACGCCGGCGGCGUGCCUAAUACAUGCAAGUCGAGCGAACAGACGAGGAGCUUGCUCCUCUGACGUUAGCGGCGGACGGGUGAGUAACACGUGGAUAACCUACCUAUAAGACUGGGAUAACUUCGGGAAACCGGAGCUAAUACCGGAUAAUAUAUUGAACCGCAUGGUUCAAUAGUGAAAGACGGUUUUGCUGUCACUUAUAGAUGGAUCCGCGCCGCAUUAGCUAGUUGGUAAGGUAACGGCUUACCAAGGCAACGAUGCGUAGCCGACCUGAGAGGGUGAUCGGCCACACGGGAACUGAGACACGGUCCAGACUCCUACGGGAGGCAGCAGUAGGGAAUCUUCCGCAAUGGGCGAAAGCCUGACGGAGCAACGCCGCGUGAGUGAUGAAGGUCUUCGGAUCGUAAAACUCUGUUAUUAGGGAAGAACAAAUGUGUAAGUAACUAUGCACGUCUUGACGGUACCUAAUCAGAAAGCCACGGCUAACUACGUG
rnacentral:rRNA from 1 species